rnacentral:rRNA from 1 species
CGGGGGGGGCAAGCGUUGUUCGGAAUUACUGGGCGUAAAGGGCUCGUAGGUGGCCAACUAAGUCAGACGUGAAAUCCCUCGGCUUAACCGGGGAACUGCAUCUGAUACUGGAUGGCUUGAGUUUGGGAGAGGGACGCGGAAUUCCAGGUGUAGCGGUGAAAUGCGUAGAUAUCUGGAGGAACACCGGUGGCGAAGGCGGCGUCCUGGACCAACACUGACACUGAUGAGCGAAAGCCAGGGGAGCAAACGGGAUUAGAUACCCCGGUAGUCCUGGCCCUAAACGAUGAAUGCUUGGUGUGGCGGGUAUCGAUCCCUGCCGUGCCGAAGCUAACGCAUUAAGCAUUCCGCCUGGGGAGUACGGUCGCAAGGCUG